GACGAACGCUGGCGGCACGCCUAACACAUGCAAGUCGAACGGACGAGAGAGAAGCUUGCUUCUUUCAAGUUAGUGGCGGACGGGUGAGUAACACGUGAGCAACCUGCCUCUGAGAGGGGGAUAGCUUCUGGAAACGGAUGGUAAUACCCCAUAACGUAGCGAAACCGCAUGAUUUUGCUACCAAAGAUUUAUCGCUGAAAGAUGGGCUCGCGUCUGAUUAGAUAGUUGGUGAGGUAACGGCUCACCAAGUCGACGAUCAGUAGCCGGACUGAGAGGUUGAACGGCCACAUUGGGACUGAGACACGGCCCAGACUCCUACGGGAGGCAGCAGUGGGGGAUAUUGGACAAUGGGGGAAACCCUGAUCCAGCGAUGCCGCGUGAGGGAAGAAGGUUUUCGGAUUGUAAACCUCUGUGGACAGGAACGAUAAUGACGGUACCUGUUUAGAAAGCCACGGCUAACUACGUG
rnacentral:rRNA from 1 species